GGAGGCAUCGCCUAGUCAGGUCUAUGGCGCGGGAUUGCUAAUCCCGUUGGGGCGCAAGCCCCUCGCGCGUUCGAAUCGCGCUGCCUCCG
rnacentral:tRNA from 1 species